AGAGAGAGACAUGCGCGCAUAUCAAUAAGCGGAGGAAAAGAAACUAACAAGGAUUCCCCUAGUAACGGCGAGUGAAGCGGGAAGAGCUCAAAUUUGAAAUCUUAAAGGGUUUCCCUUACGAAUUGUAGUUUAAAGAAGUGUUUUCUGUUGAGGUUUUGGUAAAAGUUCUUUGGAAUAGGACAUCAUAGAGGGUGAGAAUCCCGUAUUUGACCUUUACUUUCAACUUUGUGAUACACUUUCAAAGAGUCGGAUUGUUUGGGAAUGCAGUCCAAAAUGGGUGGUAAAUUUCAUCUAAAGCUAAAUAUUGGCGAGAGACCGAUAGCGAACAAGUACCGUGAGGGAAAGAUGAAAAGAACUUUGAAAAGAGAGUUAAACAGUACGUGAAAUUGUCAAAAGGGAAGCGUUUGAUCACCAGUGUUGUUUUUCUGAAAAUCAAUUAAAGAACUGUUUAUGCUAAGUUGUUUAGACUUUAUCAGCUAACUGUUUAGUUUUGAGCUUUUCUUUAAUGCACUUUUCAGUUAACAAGUCAACAUCAAUUUCUUUUGCUGUAAAAAAGCUUGAGGAAGGUGGCUUGAGAUUCGUCUUAAGUGUUUAUAGCCUCUUGCCUAUGCAGUCGGAGAGAUUGAGGUCUGCAGCGUAGAUCCUUCGGGGCUAAAUGCAUUUGUGCUAAGUUAUAGCAUUUUAUAGACAACUUGUUGACUAUGAUUUGUCUUGUAGCUUACUCGCUUAUGUUAUUUUACCUACGCUUAGGAUGUUGAGCGCAUGUCUCUCUCU
rnacentral:rRNA from 1 species